ensembl:lncRNA
GGAAAAUGUGAGGUUGGCGUCACUUAGGGGAGGGAAUGAGUUAUAAGAAAAGAACAACUUGAUAGGGGAAAGCAGUGCAGGAAGCCUCAGCCCUCGGCCCUCAGCCCUCGGAAAGGGCGUCUGAAGAGUGCGGGAACGUCAAGAAUGAUGGGGAUUUCCGGGCAGAAUGCAGAGCAGAAGAGCCACAUGGAGCAUCAAAAAAUGAGAGGAGAGUGACCCAAAGGCAGGUCCCCAGGACGGCUUCGAGGCCUCAGAGAAGAGAUGCUGCAGAUGGUCCUUAGACGGUCUCACAGAAGGACAGAGAAGGGGCAGAAAGAGGUCGGUCCUGUGACCGUGUGACCAGGAGCGGGCCCUGCAGCAAGGGUUCUGGGCUCGGAAGGGGCCAGACAACAUGGCCCUGAACAACCCUCCCCCGUCCCGGAGACCUCAGGGGCAACCUUCAUGCCUGAGCACUAAGGUCUUGGAGCUUGCUCGGAGACCUGGCCUGGCUGGGAAGAAGUUGGCUGCUCAGUUAUAUUUAGGCUAGCAGAGACAUCAAUCUCAGGCUCUUUAAAAAUAAAGUCCUGUUUCAGCUGGAUCCCCAAGCCUGUCCCCACUUACUGCUAACAAGCUCGUUCGCCUCCUCCGGGUCCCCAGUCUUAGUUACAGACCCUUCACGUGGCCCCCACAUGUGCGAAUGUGUGUUAGGAUGUCAGCGAACGGUUGCCCUCUCUGGCCCGGUUCAAAGCAGGGUUUCUCUCCUGUUUCAGGCCACCCUCCUCAGGGGCUUUUCUCUCCUUUCUGUCCCGGGGACCUUGUGAUCUUCUUCAAGGCCUCUUCCCUCCCAAACUAGCCAGAGGUAAACCUUGUUAAUGGAGGCGAUACAGCCUCCUCUAGAGUUUCUGGGUCCUGCACUGCCCUUUCCCCUCAAGGCUGCCUUCAUGGCUUCAGGAAGAAGGAAACAGAAGACAGAGACCAAAGACUGAAGCAGAAAGCGGACUGGCCAUUGUGCUAGAAAGUGUGAUGGGGGCCUUUGAAUGAAUGCUCCUAGUGCACAGCCUGUGCAUGAGCAUGUGCAUGCAUGUGUGCAAGUGUGUGAUUGUGCAUGCGUGUGUGAAUGUAUGCGAACGCAUGCAUGUGUAUGCAUGUGUGUUUGCGUCUGUGUGUGCACGUGUGUGUGUACAGCACACUGAGGGGAUAUGAGAAGCAGCACCUGGGCACGCUGGGGCCGACCCCUCGGACUCCUUGACUUGGCUCCCGCAGCCCUGGUUCCUUUCCAUCCUCACUGAUGAAACACUUCUUUAUGUCUUAUUCACAUCCUGUCCUGACUACCACAAUUGUCUCCUUGCCGGGCCCACAUGUCUCUCAUCACCAAUGGGAUCCAAAUGUUGCUGACAAAAUAAUAUCGCUGCCUUUGUGCUGCAAUCACAUUCCUCCACUUUUUCAAAUUCUUCUCUGUCUCCCAUUACUAGGGGAAUCACACACACAGACCACCAUCUCUCUCUGCUUCUUCACAGCCCCCUCCCCAGCCCCACUCCAUCUCUCUCUGCCUUUCCUACCGGCUGGGCUCGUUCUCAGCCUCUUGCUGUUCUUAAGAUGGCAGCUCUUUGGGGCCUGCCCAGCAUUCCUGGCACAACCUCCUAGUACUAUUUAUUCCAUCAGCAAAUGUUUAUUAAGAGUGACAGGCACUCUUCUAGGCACUGGAGUGCAGCAAGAAACAAAACUGAGGACAGCAGUCAACAAAGAAAAAUACAACAGCGUGUCAAGAAUUGUGAGGACUGUGAAGAAAAAGAAAGCAGCGAGAAGGGCCGGUAGGCGACUCUCACACAGAGAGGGGCCGAAGGGAGGCCUGGAGCUGCUCCCCACCUUCCCAACAUCAGGGCUCAGGGCCUGCAUCUCUAACAUCCUUCUGCUCUGCCAGAGGCCUCCCCUCCAUCCUUCGCUUGGUUUGUACCAUGUUUACCCUGAUCUUAAGAGUGGGGAGGCACCAGGCACGACUGUGAUGCAACAGGAGACCUGCCGCUAUGAACUCGAGGACUCCCUAUGGCAGAAGGAACCAGGCGCACGCCCUCAAAUCACUAAGCACAGACCCAGUCCUCUUCCAUCUCCCCAUCCAGAACACAGAUGCUCAUCUAAAUACAGUGUCUGAAUGACCACUGAGAGCUCGGCCAGAGUGUCCUGUCAACGUCCGAAUUGUGUCUCCCUGUCCUGGAAUCAGGGACCCAAAUCUGGUUCUGUCGACUCCAGCCAGGCCUCCCCCUCUUCAGGCAAAGUGCAGGGCAGCCCACUGCGUGGAUGCUCGAUGCCCAUCAGCGCUGUCUUCACUUGUAAACAGCCGACGGGAAGAGCAUCAGAGAUAGAAGUUCCAAUGAACAAGUUUAUUAGCAAGUGAAAUAACUAACAUUGAAUUAGCAGCAAUAAAAACUGCUACCACUCUGAAAACAAAUUGUUGUCUCUGUGGGUGUUUUCCUUCCUGGGAGGGGAAAGGCUCGGAGGGAUAGGACGAUGAAGUCUGGUCUCUGUCUAGAUGGGAACAAAGCUGUGGACUGCUCAUCUUUUCACAGAGGCUUGCUGGUAGCCAGCUCACGAGUGACGGCCACGCUGCCCAUAAUAAUCGUCUGUGUCCCCGGUGUCUUAGUGUGGUCCAGCUAGACCCUCCCUGCCCAAUACAGCAGCCCGCAGCCACAGCAGACUGCACAGCGCUAGGAAUGUGGCUAGUCUGAACCGACGUGUUCUCCGAGCAUAAAACACAUACCGGACUUUGAAGACUGAGCACAAAAAAGUGAAUGUAAC